CAAAGUUUUUACAGUCUGGAAGAAGAAAAGAAGGCUAGACAUCUUAAACAAUGAAGACAGCAGGAUUUACCAUAUGAGAUGAAUAAAGAAAAAGUAAGACCAGUAAACCAAAACAGGACCAAAUAGGCCAUGACUGAAGUUCAAGUGCAUUCUGCAAGAAAGUGGACAGUCUAGAUUUUGUUCUUUUCAAGGUUCAGAAGGGAUGCCAUAUUUCAGGUUUGAAACCAGGCAAGUGAAAGCUGAAUUCCAACCAAAUUCAACAUACUUGUA